UACCUGGUUGAUCCUGCCAGUAGUCAUAUGCUUGUCUCAAAGAUUAAGCCAUGCAAGUCUAAGUACGAGCUCUCGUACAGUGAAACUGCGAAUGGCUCAUUAAAUCAGUUAUGGUUCAUUUGAUCGUACAGUUUACUUGGAUAACUGUGGUAAUUCUAGAGCUAAUACAUGCGAGAAGCGCCGACCUCGCGGGAGGCGUGCAUUUAUCAGACCAAAAACCGGCCGCGUCUUCGGGCGCGUUC
rnacentral:ncRNA from 1 species